rnacentral:rRNA from 1 species
UACAGAGGUCUCAAGCGUUGUUCGGAUUCAUUGGGCGUAAAGGGCGCGUAGGCGGCGGGGUAAGUCGGGUGUGAAAUCUCAGAGCUCAACUCUGAAAUGGCACUUGAUACUGCUCUGCUAGAGGACUGGAGAGGAGAUUGGAAUUCACGGUGUAGCAGUGAAAUGCGUAGAUAUCGUGAGGAAGACCGGUGGGCGAAGGCGGAUCUCUGGGACAGUUCCCGAUGACGCUGAGGCGCGAAGGCCAGGGGAGCAAACGGG